GUGACCACAAGUUCAACGGCCGCGGUAUUUUGACCGUGCAAAGGUAGCGCAAUCACUUGUCUUUUAAAUAGAGACCUGUAUGAAUGGCUAAACGAGGGCUUAACUGUCUCCCUUUUCAGGUCAGUGAAAUUGAUCUACCCGUGCAGAAGCGGGUAUAACAAUACAAGACGAGAAGACCCUUUGGAGCUUAAGGUACAAAACUCAACCACGUCAAGCAACUUAACAAAAAGUAAAAACUUUGUGAAACAUGAGAUUUUACCUUCGGUUGGGGCGACCGCGGAGGAAAAAAAAGCCUCCAAGUGGACCGGGACAAACUCCUAAAACCAAGAGAAACAUCUCUAAGCCACAGAACAUCUGACCAAACAUGAUCCGGCCACCAGGACCGAUCAACGAACCAAGUUACCCUAGGGAUAACAGCGCAAUCCCCUCCCAGAGUCCAUAUCGACGAGGGGGUUUACGACCUCGAUGUUGGAUCAGGACAUCCUAAUGGUGCAGCCGCUAUUAAGGGUUCGUUUGUUCAACGAUUAAAGUCCUACAUGAUCUGG
rnacentral:rRNA from 1 species